rnacentral:rRNA from 1 species
AGUCGAGCGAGCUUGCCUAGAUGAAUUUGGUGCUUGCACCAGAUGAAACUAGAUACAAGCGAGCGGCGGACGGGUGAGUAACACGUGGGUAACCUGCCCAAGAGACUGGGAUAACACCUGGAAACAGAUGCUAAUACCGGAUAACAACACUAGACGCAUGUCUAGAGUUUAAAAGAUGGUUCUGCUAUCACUCUUGGAUGGACCUGCGGUGCAUUAGCUAGUUGGUAAGGUAACGGCUUACCAAGGCAAUGAUGCAUAGCCGAGUUGAGAGACUGAUCGGCCACAUUGGGACUGAGACACGGCCCAAACUCCUACGGGAGGCAGCAGUAGGGAAUCUUCCACAAUGGACGCAAGUCUGAUGGAGCAACGCCGCGUGAGUGAAGAAGGGUUUCGGCUCGUAAAGCUCUGUUGGUAGUGAAGAAAGAUAGAGGUAGUAACUGGCCUUUAUUUGACGGUAAUUACUUAGAAAGUCACGGCUAACUACGUGCCAGCAGCCGCGGUAAUACGUAGGUGGCAAGCGUUGUCCGGAUUUAUUGGGCGUAAAGCGAGUGCAGGCGGUUCAAUAAGUCUGACGUGAAAGCCUUCGGCUCAACCGGAGAAUUGCAUCAGAAACUGUUGAACUUGAGUGCAGAAGAGGAGAGUGGAACUCCAUGUGUAGCGGUGGAAUGCGUAGAUAUAUGGAAGAACACCAGUGGCGAAGGCGGCUCUCUGGUCUGCAACUGACGCUGAGGCUCGAAAGCAUGGGUAGCGAACAGGAUUAGAUACCCUGGUAGUCCAUGCCGUAAACGAUGAGUGCUAAGUGUUGGGAGGUUUCCGCCUCUCAGUGCUGCAGCUAACGCAUUA